rnacentral:lncRNA from 1 species
AUGGGAUCCAAGGGCAUCUGGGUAGAACAAAGACAGAGUCCAUUCCAGCAGGUGUGUGAGUACUUCUCGCAUGGAGCUGGAAAUUCCAAGUGCACGUCGGUGUUCGAUUAUAAAGAUUUUGUUUAUUUAUUCAUAAGAGACACACAGAGAGAGAGAGGUAGAGACACAGACUGUGGGAGAAGCAGGCUCCAUGCAGGGAGCCCAACGUGGGACUCAAUCCCAGGUCUCCAGGAUCACGCCCUGGGCUGAAGGAGGCACCAAACCGCUGAGCCACCCAGGCUGCCCUCACAUUAUGUUCUAACUCUUGAAACUGCUCCUCAGAUACAGAAGAGCAGGAGGAUGUGGUGUGGUGCUCUGGAAUGGAGAGCUGCAGGUGCGAAUCCUCAGCUGAAGGUGACGAGGAUGCCACUUGGAGCUGUAUUGUGUGGGGAAGUUCACACAGCCCUGCCACAGUGUGUGUCAGACUCUAACAUUUAGUUUGGCCAACUCUCCUCCACUUACAGCCCUCCCCAAUCACAAAAUUGGCAGGGAAAACCCUGAUCUGGUGGCUACAAAUGGAAACCUUCUGACAAAACCUAGAAAACAAAUUGCAGUUGAUUCCUUCCGGAGCAGGAUCCCAAUGGGCAUCAUUUCCUGAAUUUCUCUGCCUGCAUUUGGCAACCAUCCAGCAGGAUCUUCUCCUAUGCAAGAAGUGACCCCUUCUCUAGAACCCUCACCUCUUCUCCCUGGGCACUUCAACACUGAAUGCAGCCCUCAGGCCUUCCAGGCAUCGCUUUACUAUUCUCUUGGCUCUACAAUCCUACAAUUUUCAAUACUAGUGCCAGCCACAUCUGAUGCUGUUUUAUGUUCCCCGAAGAGAAGAGCUCUCCUCCAAUUUCAUAGAGAUAUAAUUGAAAUACAGGAAAUUGCACAUAUUUAAAGUAUACUGUUUGUUCAAUUUGACAUAUGUAUACAUCACCCCAAUCAAGAUGGCAAACAUUUUAAUCAGCACCAACAAUACUGACACGUUAGAUGAACUUGUGUUUCUGCAAUGUAUAUAAAUAUAUAUAUAUAAUUGCAUAUAAAUGGGAUCAGACAGCAUGUAUUUUACAUGCUGUCUGAUCUAGCUUCUUUAGUCUGAUCUAGCUUCUUUAGUUUAGCAUAGUCAUCUUGAGAUUUACCCAUGUUGUUGUACCCAUACACCGUAUGUUCCUUUUUUAUUGCUGAGUAAUAUUCCACCGUAUGAAUAUAUCAUAAUAUUUUAUAUAUUCAUCUGAUGAUGGACAUUUGUGUUGCUUCCACAGUUUGUUUUUGAUUUUUUUUUUUUGGAUAUUGCAAAUAAAGACUUGUUAUCGAAUGUAUAAGUCUUUGUG